rnacentral:rRNA from 1 species
GACGAACGCUGGCGGCGUGCUUAACACAUGCAAGUCGAGCGGUAAGGCCCUUUCGGGGGUACACGAGCGGCGAACGGGUGAGUAACACGUGGGUGACCUGCCCUCAGCUCUGGGAUAAGCCUGGGAAACUGGGUCUAAUACCGGAUAUGACUCCAUGACGCAUGUUGUGGGGUGGAAAGCCUUGUGCGGCUGGGGAUGGGCCCGCGGCCUAUCAGCUUGUUGGUGGGGUGANGGCCUACCAAGGCGACGACGGGUAGCCGGCCUGAGAGGGCGACCGGCCACACUGGGACUGAGACACGGCCCAGACUCCUACGGGAGGCAGCAGUGGGGAAUCUUGCGCAAUGGGCGAAAGCCUGACGCAGCGACGCCGCGUGAGGGAUGACGGCCU